GAGAUCAAAGAAUAACACCGUGUUUUUGUUAAAAUUAUUAUCUUGUCAAUCACGUUUUUGACGCGAUAUCACGCUUAAACCCAAAACCGCAAUCAAUUCAACAGCCAUACUGGAGAACAUGAUGAGCAAGAAGAAAGGAUUAACCACCGCG
rnacentral:sRNA from 18 species